rnacentral:rRNA from 1 species
AAUCAACGCUGGCGGCGUGCCUCAGACAUGCAAGUCGAACGCGAAAGUCCCCCUCGGGGGACAAGUAGAGUGGCGCACGGGUGAGUAACACGUAGGUAAUCUACCUUCGGGUGGGGAAGUAACAAUCGGAAACGGUUGCUAAUACCGCAUAAUGCAGCGGCACCUAAUGGUGACAGUUGUUAAAGCGGGGGAUCGCAAGAUCUCGCGCCUGAAGAGGAGCCUGCGGCGGAUAGCUAGUUGGUAGGGUAAUGGCCUACCAAGGCGACGAUCCGUAGCCGGCCUGAGAGGGCGGUCGGCCACACUGACACUGACAUACGGGUCAGACUCCUACGGGAGGCAGCA